UCAGGAUGAACGCUAGCGACAGGCUUAACACAUGCAAGUCGAGGGGCAGCAUAAAAGUAGCAAUACUUGGUGGCGACCGGCGCACGGGUGAGUAACGCGUAUGCAACCUACCUAUCGAGAGGGGAAUAACCCGGCGAAAGUCGGACUAAUACCGCAUAAAACAGGGGCACCGCAUGGUGAUAUUGUUAAAGAAAUUCGCUGAUAGAUGGGCAUGCGUUCCAUUAGGUAGUUGGUGAGGUAACGGCUCACCAAGCCGACGAUGGAUAGGGGAACUGAGAGGUUGGUCCCCCACACUGGUACUGAGACACGGACCAGACUCCUACGGGAGGCAGCAGUGAGGAAUAUUGGUCAAUGGGCGGGAGCCUGAACCAGCCAAGUCGCGUGAAGGAAGAAGGAUCUAUGGUUCGUAAACUUCUUUUGCAGGGGAAUAAAGUGCAGGACGUGUCCUGUUUUGUAUGUACCCUGAGAAUAAGGAUCGGCUAACUCCGUGCCAGCCGCGGC
rnacentral:rRNA from 1 species